rnacentral:rRNA from 1 species
AGUGAACGCUGGCGGUAGGCCUAACACAUGCAAGUCGAACGGCAGCACAGUAAGAGCUUGCUCUUACGGGUGGCGAGUGGCGGACGGGUGAGGAAUACAUCGGAAUCUACCUUUUCGUGGGGGAUAACGUAGGGAAACUUACGCUAAUACCGCAUACGACCUACGGGUGAAAGCAGGGGAUCUUCGGACCUUGCGCGAUUGAAUGAGCCGAUGUCGGAUUAGCUAGUUGGCGGGGUAAAGGCCCACCAAGGCGACGAUCCGUAGCUGGUCUGAGAGGAUGAUCAGCCACACUGGAACUGAGACACGGUCCAGACUCCUACGGGAGGCAGCAGUGGGGAAUAUUGGACAAUGGGCGCAAGCCUGAUCCAGCAUACCGCGUGGGUGAAGAAGGCCUUCGGGUUGUAAAGCCCUUUUGUUGGGAAAGAAAAGCAGCAGGUUAAUACCCCGCUGUUCUGACGGUACCCAAAGAAUAAGCACCGGCUAACUUCGUG